ACACACACACACACACACACUGUAUGUCUGCAGCCACAUGACUAUGUUUAAUGCACAAUGGGACACUCCCUGCAUUUUCUAAUUCUUGGCAGGGGGAUGAACCACUAUGUGUUGGUGUAGCCAUGUGCUCAGACAUGCACUCUACAACCAUACAUCCAGACACGGUUCCUUUAUAUAUUGUCUGUCACUGUUUUAUGUUUUAUGUUGUAUUGUAUAAACUUUGUGUGACGUGCUGCUGCUGCUGUCUUGGCCAGGACACUCUUGUAAAGGAGAUUUUUAAUCUCAAUGAGGCAUUUCCUGGUUAAAUAAAUAAAAUAAAUAAAAAUAAAAUAAAUAAAUUUACCCCACCACUCACACACCAUCUAUAUUCUAUGUCCCUGGAUCACAGACGGUAUGCAGCUGUUGGUCUGGAACUCGCCGAUGGACGUCGAGCUGACUCAACGUGGCGGUGAGAGCGUCGAGACUCUGCGCGACAAAGGUGCAGAAGAUCCUGAAAGGGAAACAUUUCAAAGCUGAAGCUCAACAACACAGUCAGUCCAAGGAGGUGGAGUAGCAGCCACCUCAUGAGACCAGGAAAGCUCAUCAAGAGACGGGGACCAGCAUCCUGAUGGAAUCGCAGACAGCCAUACCUGCUUGCAGUGGGAACUCAGAGGAAUGUGAUUCCGUCAAACAUGCAUUUUUUUUUAUGUUUCAUUUGUAAGAGCUCCCAGACAAAUGCUAAUUUAGUUGUAUGUAUUAAAAUUAGGGCUGUCAAUCGAUUAAAACAAAUUAACUGAUAAAUUGCGAUUAAUCAAUCGCGAUUAAAAGUUGUUUCCUUCUUUUUAAAGACCAAACUUCACACAGCUGUGUUUUCAAAGAGGCUCCUACCUAUAAAGUGCCAGCGAGGUAUUUAAUAUCGUGGAUGACAAAUUGUUUCUUCAGUGAAACAUCAGAUUACUAAAAAAAAAGUAUAUUGAGACCCCAUUGGUCCUGUCAUCUUUAACACUGAACAACAGCAGAACCAGUGGCCUUGGUAACUGACUGACAUUCAAAUAUGUCAUGUUAACCCUCUGGAGGCUGGGCUCAUUUUAUAAAUUUUACAAAAAAAUUAAAUUCACCGUUUAAAGUAUUUUGCAUGUGACACAGGCUACCCACGUGUUAUACAUCGAACAAUCUCAGCUCUGUAAUAAGGCUCAUUGUUCUCUGACUGACAGGCUGCUAAGUGAGGUCCUUUGUGAUUUACUGAGUGUUCAUUGGUUGUUUUUUUUCCCCCGAAAUGUUGACUGACAAAUCACGGUGACUGUUUCGUGUGACGAGUUCUUUCCGCGCCGCUUCCCCCGACACGUCGUUCCUCUGUGUAUCAGAGGGGGAGACGGGAGGAGCAGGAGGAAACCCGACUGAUUCAUCCACGAGUUUAAACUGAUUUCUGCUCCUUAUUUUCGCAGAGAAAUAAUUGUUUUAAAAACUUCAACGAACACCGGAAGUAAACAAAGUUGCGUUAACGCGCCCAAAUUAAUCGCAUAGAUUAACACGUUAACGCUGACAGCCCUAAUUAAAAUUCAUUGUGACUUAUUUUUGACAUACUAUGACUUAUUUUCACAUGCUAUACUACAACUUUAAUUUCGACAUACUAUGACUUUGUCACAUUUUGGUAUACUAUACAAUGACUUAUUUUCGCAUAUUUUGGCAUGCUAUACUAUGACUUUUACAUAUUUUGGCAUGCUAUACUAUGACCUUUAUUUUGGCAUACUAUACUAAUAUAGAAAAAUGCCCGUCUCAGUUCCUGGUGAGUGUUCUCCCCUCCCUCUUUGUUUUCCCUUCAGGUGCCAUCACUUGCCACCUGUACAGGCCAAUCCGACCGCACUUGGGUUCCAGAGGGCCAGUCGGCCAGUCGGCCAAUCGGCUGAGUGUUUUCAAAGUUCAGGGGUGGCUUUGGCUUGUGUAAUGUUUACACUGAUACUGCUAGGUGUGCAGGUUUGCGGUGAGAGGUUAAGGACAGUCGGUGAGUUUAGGGUAAAUAGUUAAACUGUACAGUCAGCAUUUCUAAAUAGUUGACUGACAUUCGCUUUAGAUCCUGCAGAAACAAAUUAAGGUAAAAAAAAAAAGGCCAUGGCAAUAUAACCAAAAGGCAGCUGAGUCAGCUCGAUGUGGUGAGUUACAGCUGCACACCGUCUGAUCCAGGGACCUAGAAAAUAGAUGGUGUGAGUAAAGGAACCGUUGUAUGACUUUGGGUACUUGGAGAAGCGCUGUAUAAGAUUAUUAUCAAGCAGACUUACUGUUGAACACCAACUGGGGGAAGUGAAGCCAUGUGUUUGUUGUAGGAAGUAUACAUGUGGCUGGAACAGCUCGACAUAUGUAAAAGUCAUAGUAUGCCAGAAUAUGUACAAAUAAAGGUCAUAGUAAGGUCAAAUUAAAGUCAUCGCAUAUUUUGGCAUACCUCUGUUCUCCCACUUUAAGCAGUCCAACCAUGGCAAGUGUUUUUGCCUUAUCAACUUGUUCCAUACUGUUGCACCCAAUUAAGAGAUUGCCAUCUCCCAAGACCCUUGCAUACUUCACUUGUCCCAAUUGUGCUCUAAUUACUUUGGUAAGUUUUAAUGGAUCAAAUUUCUUAACUCCUCCUUGUAUCACUACAUUCAGUAGUUGUGUCUUUGGUUCUCCAAAUUCUCCCUCCCACCUUGCUCCAGCCAUCCUGACUGAAGAGUAAAAGUCUGACUAAGCCGCACCAGAAAACUUCCAAAAGCAGUUCCCUCCGCUAUAGCUCUUUUUAUACCCCUGGUGACUAAUUGGACCGGACCAAUACCAUCUAUAGAGUUGGUAUUUCCCAGACCUAUAAAGUGGUGGUCAUGGACACUGGGAAGUCAUUUGCCAGAUCACCCCGGGGAGAGGAGACCUGUUCCAGAGAUCUCUGGGAGGAAGACACCUGUAACAGGAUCUAAAGAGCGGGAGCGCGCUGUUACAUUCAACCCCAUGUAUUAAUUUACACUUCCCUGGACCAGGAUCUAAAGUGGAGCUGUUACAGCCACAUUUCCUGGAGCUAUAAGUCGGUGGUCCCGGUUAACAGUACCUGGAUCACAGAUGGUGUGCCGCUUGCUGAUGGACAUCGAGCUGAUUUUUGGUUUCCAAGUAAUUUGUUUUUGCAGGAUCUAAACUAUUUUUGAUUUAAUGUGAGAGACUAGGAGUCUCACUUGUAGAAAGUAUUGUUUCACGGGUGAGCACACUCUCAGCCCCCGUCAACAACUCAUCUCGGCUCGUGCCUCGCUCAGCGGUGAUGCGCGCACAACACAGGAUCUCUACUUGGUGUUUCCUGGAUGAAAGGCAAAAUAAGUCUCAUGUAAUCCACACUUCUCUGGGUCAUUGAAUUCUAUGUAUAGUUGUAAAAGGAGUGUUAGUUGAUUCACUGGGUCAACAGGCCCAGAACUUAUCUUAGGAGUUUUGGCGCAGUUACACUUAAAUCAUAGAUUUUUUUAGCAGGGGGGGGGUUAAUGGUAAGAGUUGUGAUGUUAUGUUUUAAUUUCUGCUUACUAGUAGGGUCAAUGUGUUUAGAAAUGUUAUAUAUAGAGGUUAGUUUAUCUAUUGUAUGCUAAUAUAUUUGUUAUAGUAAAUUGCAAUUUAAUUUUAAUAAAUGUUUUAUUGAUUCCUAGACCUAUAAAGUGGUGGUGGAUGACAUGUGUUGUAAUAUAUAAAUGAAUAAUUGUUUGAUUUAGUAGUGGUAGAAGGGGUGUGUUAAUAAUCAUUUUAAUAGUUUUUGAAGAUGCUUUACAGUUCAGAGUGCAGUAGUGAUAUUGGUAGCCACAGAUUGAUGGAAGACAAUCUGUGGUUAUGGGUGCUUUGAUCACCACUCAUAUGAAUUGGGGUGAGGUUGUUGUGUGUCUAUGUAGGUUUUGUAAAAAUUUUUUUUUUUUUUUGACAGGUGUGUUAUUUGGUGGAGUAGAGAUUGUAUGUUUAUAUAAAGUCAGAAAUUGGCUUAAGUGUAUACUUUGCAGGA